GGGUCUCCAUUCUGCAUUUACUGGGAAGCCCCUGGGGUGCUGUGUGUUUUCUGAAGCUGCCACAGCAAGUCACCACAAGGCUGUGACUGACACAACGCAAGCUUGCUGUCAUUCUGCAGACUAGUAGUCCAGCAUGGCCUCACGGGACAACAUGACUGCAUCUCUUACUAGAAGAUUCUUAACCAAUUCCAAAGUCAUCUAGGAUGACAUUUCCUAAUACAGUGUAGAAAAGUCUAAUCUGAGAAUGUGACGUCACUCACAUUCUCCAGUGGCUUUAUUAGAACUUCUGUAUUUAAAAAAAAAAAACAUAAGGAAAAACCUCUUGACUGUUAAGGGGGAACUUGAGGAGAACAACAUCUCCAGGGAUUACUAAAUAUGAUGAUUUGAAGACUUUCUCAAGAUCUUCUCAGCAGGCUUUCAGAAGCUGGCUUCUACUUCUUUGUCUUGCUAGUGACACUUGGGGACAGUGCUUAGAGGACUCAGGUUGCCUUCCCCUUGCUGCUGGCUUCUGGCCCUCUUCCUUCAUAUCCAAGGGGCCUCACGGAGUGCAGACUCGGUAUUCCAUCGGGCAGUUCUCGGUAAUCUGGUAACACGUGUCCGAUGCCAGUUCCAGUUCUCUGGUUGAAUCUGAUAGGUACAGAUCCCA
ensembl:lincRNA Gm42757 predicted gene 42757